UUGGUCUGACCCGGUAGUUCUUAUGUUCAUAGGGGAGUGAUCUCCCAAAACACCCCUUUCUCAAUGGAGCAUGCCCCAGCAUCUCCUUAGCGGGAGAUCUCUCCCCACCAUCUCUAGGGAUGAAUCCCACCCCUGCACCCGCCAGCAUCCUCUCAUGAGAGCAGAAUCCCCCUGAUCCUCCCACAGGGAACGCCUCCACAGCAUUCCCCCCAUCCUCAGGGAGGGGCAACCCACCACUCAUUCCUAGGGGAGCUUCCCAGGAACUAGCUUUCAUGCUCCAUUAGUGUAGCAAAUAACCCCCCCUGCCAUAUCUCCUCCUCCCAAGGUGUCUCCAGGGAAGGAUUUCUGCACUGUUCAAAGGUUCUGCUUACCUACUAUAAUGUACGACUCCAGAGGAAGACAGAAGUUCAUCAGCGAUGCUCAGUAUGUGAGGGAAAUGCAACACAAGAUGGAUUCAGAGUAUCAGGCUUGCCUGAGAAGACAGGAGCAGAAUAGAGAACAGAUUGAGAAGAAACGAGAGCAACAUGCCAGGCAAGAACAGAGACAGAAAACCCUAUCUUCCAUCUAUGCUACACGCAGCUAUGAAAGACCAUGGAUAUCAGGCAUACCAGUUACCAGACAGACCUCUGCAGAUGAGGGUUCUGGGUCUGCCAUCAAGUCUUCUGCAAACAGAUCUGACUCAAAAUUCCCCACUAUAGAAAAAAUAUCAAGCAAGCAAAAGCAAAACCCUCCCAUGAGCUCCAGCAAAGUAACUCCAGCUGCCCAGAAGCAGUCAUUAUUAAGGAGAAAGAGAAUGAACCAGGGAGGAUUGUUGGGAAGCCCAGACACACAGAAUAUGAGAAAAUUGGAAGACAAAGACAGACGGGCCUUGUUGCUACAGGCAAAGGCACAAGUUACCAGCGCAACUGAUCUUGGAGUGACAAAUGAAACUACGCUCACGAACAAGAAGAGAUCUCAAGAGAGAAGGAAUGUAAUCCAGUCUCCUAAGCUAAAUCUCGAUCGUAAAGGUCUAGACAAAGAUAGCAAAAUAGGAAAUGUCCUUCCACAGACUCAGCAGUCUCCAACUCUGUCAUCUGCAUCUACCUUGCAAGGAGCUCAUGGUUCCUUUGUCUCAAAUGAGUCACAUGGUCCAUCUUUUAUACCCACUAAAAUGGCCCCUUUGAGGUUUAGAGAUGAAAACUUUUAUUCUAUGCUUUGCUUAAACAUGGAAGAGUCCUGUGAAGAAAAUGAUACUAAAGACGAUGAUAUACUAGAGAAGGAAUUCCUUUCUUUCAAUCUAAAUCGUUCUCCUACUCCUCUAGAACAAAUUAGCAAAUUUAGUGGAACAUCUUUGGCACAAGAUGAACAAUGUAACUCUGAAGAAACUGGAGAUGAUAGAAGCAUUUCAUCAAGGAGUGUGGAAUCUUCUCAUCAACCAUUAAGACAACACAAUGUAAUGGACACAACUGUUGAACAGUCUUCAUUAAGGCAAAGAAACUUUAGGGACUAUGGAAAGUCUUACACUCUAGAUGGGAAUUCUUCUGAAGGUGCUGAUUGCAAUAAAAAUGAAAAUGAAACUCCAUUAUUUAGUUCAAGAAGCUCACGAGCUGAAAGCAGACCAGGCAGCGCACCUAUUGCUGGGACUCUUAAUAACAUUAGCUCUAUAGAUAGGCCUAGCGUUAAUAUUUAUAACAGAGAAUUGCAAGCCUAUGAAAGCAGUCAGAGGCGUUAUACUGAUCUCCUUACUUCUGCACGGUCAACAGUUCAUAGACCAUUAUUGUAUUCUGCAUAUAAUACUCCAAGAUCAUUAAUACAAUCUGCACAUAGAGCUGAGGUCUCAACAACUGUAUCAUCUCAAGUAUUGGAUUUGGAUGGAAAUUCAAGGUUUAAUGUUCGUAGACCCUUGUCUCCUAUAAGAAGUAGAGAUUCUUUUUCUGCUACAGAAAGUUAUGAAUCUUCAUCACCUAUAGUCAGUACACCUGAAGAUAAUAGCCUACUGGAUGAUAGUAUAGAUAAUGGUUUAAAGAGUACAUCUGCAAAUGCUUCCUUACAUGAUGAAGAGAACUUACUAAAUUCACAUAGUUCUUUUUUAUCUAUAGAUUCUUCCAGCCCAUCUUUGUUUCAAACAAAUUUCACAGCCCACCUUCACAUGGCUGGCACAUUACAUGAUCAAUUACCACUUGCUUUGCUGGCAGUGUCUGAUUUACAAAAUCAAAGGAGUUCUGUGAGCAGCAUUGCAGCCUGUGACACCACAAGUGCAAAGGAAAUAAACAAACAUGCAGACCCAGAGAAGCUUAAGAAACUGCAGGAGAGUCUACUAGCAGAAGACUCAGAAGAGGAAGGAGACCAGUGUCGGAUAUGUCAGAUUGCUGGGGGCUCUUUAACCAAUCCACUGGUAGAACCAUGUGGGUGCGUAGGAACCUUACAGUUUGUUCAUCAGGAAUGUCUAAAAACAUGGCUGAAAGCUAAGAUAAAAUCAGGUGCUGAGCUGGGGGCAGUGAAAACCUGUGAACUGUGUAAGCAGAGCCUGAUAGCUGAUCUGGAUGAUUUUGAUGUGAAUGACUAUUAUAGAAAUCACCAACAGUCUCGGGCACAAAGUGAGCUAAUGAAUUCAGGUCUCUACCUUGUGCUGCUCCUUCACCUUUAUGAACAGAGGUUUGCAGAGCUUAUGCGACUAAACUACAAUCAAGCCAGCAGAGACAGGCCCAUGGCAGAUGCUGCGAUGCCAAUCUGAUGGAGAACUUCCGUGUGAGAAUUGGAGGAGCUGCUCUCAAGACAGCCUAGAGCAGAGGAAAGUGAAAAUUCAGAGUCGGGGAACAAUGGAUAGAAGAGUG